rnacentral:lncRNA from 1 species
GAAGAAGAAAGGGAAAUGGUGGCAGGGUGGGGGGGUCGCGGAGGCUGUGGAGGAUUGAAUAUGUUGAAUGCUAAACAGAAGAAAGUCAGAUUUUAAGUGGCCAAAGUUUCCAUGUGAACCACCAGAAGAGCCUCUUCUUAUGAUCCAAUUGUGGAUUCAGUUUUUCCUACGGUGGUGAGCAAGCUGAUGAGUGGGCCUUCCUGAGGACGGACAGAGGCCCAGCCACAUGCUACGGGGAGCAUCCCUAUGCCUGGCUCAUAAUUUCACUGCGCAUCUACAGACAAACGCCCAACUUGCCUGGAACAUCAAGAAGAGUGAAAGCGAACCCAUCAUGGUGAACAGAGAUCAGGAGGAAAAGCCUGGGAUCAUCAAUCAAUCUCCAGUUCAUCCCAAACCUACUCAAGACGCAGCAAUCAUGUGAAGGAAAGGAUUCCUGACUCUAACAAUGUGCCUUCAGAAGCCUGAUCACACAAUCAAGUGGCUCUAAUUCCCCAGGGCAAACAUACCUGUUCUGUUUAUCUAAAUGAGCAGAAGUGUUGAAAAAGAUACAAACAAGAGAAAAAACACUGUGCUCAGAAUAUUUUGUAUUUGUCAAUGUGCAGUUGGCAUUGGAGUGACCUGCUGUAUUGAAAUGGGACUGGCUUGAGGGAGGGGGUUGCUGAAAAGAGAGGAGAAUGUGGAGGAUGAAAGUGAGACAGACAACUCAGAAUUUUUCCCUUUUGAAUUUCAACCUGUUGGAUAAAAACAAUAGCAAAUGAGGCACUGAAUAUGCAUGAGGCAGGGAAGGUAUUUUAAGUUUUUCAGGAGACAGCUCGCUGAACAGAAUUGCUAAUUAUGUCUCACAUUGCUCUGUCCAAUUCAGUUAGCUUGAUUAUGGCUGAGUUGUCAACUCCCCUGCACUUGAGGUUCCACAGUUGCAGCCCAUUCUAAGGCUUAAUACUAAAUUAGAAUUAUAUUUUUCCCCCAAAAAAAAAUGUUUUCCCUUGCUGAAGUGCUAGCUUUAUCCAUUGUGACAACAUAACCUUUCUCAACAAAAAUAAAAUUAAAACCGCCAAGGGUUCAGAUUCAAGGGUUUUUGGAGUUGGUGGAACGUCAGAAAUGUAAUCGCAGCUGUGACAAUUGCAAAUUAAGAUUGAACAAUGAGCCAAAUUAAAAAGGGUGAGAAAGAGCAGAACACCAUAUGGAGUCUCUCGUUGCUACCCCCACAGGAUAUCUUUGAUUCCCUAGGAUAAGGAGGAUUAGCCAACAGAGGGAUGGACUAAAUAAGAGCCCUGGCAUCUCACUAACCUGCAGCCACUGCAUAAAUCAAGAAGUUCAAUUUCCCAUUUCCUUAACUUAGUUUCUUCACCUUCAAAACAAAAGAAACUUUGCUUGAUAACAGUGCUGGUUCAAGAGAGGGAUGAUGAGGGAAGGAGGGGUCCUGGCUGAAGAGCUAAAUGAGGAUCAGUUAUAUCUAGGCCUGUCUAGCAAAUCAGGAUUCUUGGGAGAAUUCACCCUAAAAAUAGAGAGAAUGUGGCAUGAUGGGCUCAACUGAAUAAAAUGUCAUUGGAUUAAGUUCAGUAUGGCGCCUUCUGUCAAAUCCAUUCAAUUCCAGCCAAGUCUCUGCAGGACUCAUGUCUGAAAUG